UACGUAGGGGGCAAGCGUUGUCCGGAAUCAUUGGGCGUAAAGCGCGCGUAGGCGGCCCUGUAAGUCCGUUGUGAAAGUUGAAGGCUCAACCUUCGAAAGCCGAUGGAUACUGCAGGGCUAGAGUCCGGAAGAGGCGAGUGGAAUUCCUGGUGUAGCGGUGGAAUGCGCAGAUAUCAGGAGGAACACCAAUAGCGAAGGCAGCUCGCUGGGACGGUACUGACGCUAAGGCGCGAAAGCGUGGGGAGCGAACAGG
rnacentral:rRNA from 1 species